GGUCACAGUUGCGAUUAUGUUUCCCUGAAGGGAAGCAGAGGUGAAACAACUUGUGCUUGCUUUGCUAAGGAGGAUCCGGUGUGUGAAAGAGAAAAUCAACCAUAUUCUCUUGUUUGAACGAGAUUAUGACAAGGCCAGGUAAGUCUUUUCAAGAGAAAUUGGCGUCUGUUGCAACAGAUUUUUGCCGCGAGGACAGGACAUGACGUGCAAUCAAAGGAACACGAUGGAACAGAUGAACUACGCAUAGAGGAAAAGGACAACAUAGCUUUCUGUGAGCCUUGUAGCCGAUACCUCCAGUGCUUCUCUUUCCGGUUGUUUCUUCGAAAAUUUGGCAGCCUCACCGAUUCCUGCCCAUUACUUCAUCCUUUCACGCACCUUUACGCCGCUGACCAGGUUCAUCGUAGAUCGUCAGUGAAUAAAAAUGCCUGGACCGACGCCUACACCUGAAUUUGAAAAUUCGCUUUAUUAAAGUAGUUUAUAAACAUGAUCAGUUAUAACGGCGUUGCGGGGAAGAGUUAUUAAUAACAACGAAGUUCAGAUGUUCCAAGACGGCUACCAAAGACGGCUUCCAAAGGAAUCAAGAAUCUUUUGACAAACUAUGCCCUUAAGAGAACGACGAAGAUCCUUUUGAUCAGAGACAAUGAGUUUAGACACGAUGUGUCUAAAAAUGAAGAGACUAAGUAUCUAAGAUAUCAUAGCAACCGAAAUAUCCUUCAGAUGAAAAUGUACUCGUUUCGCACGAUG